CCGCUCAGGCCCCCUUCCACAUUGUGGAAGCUUUGUUCUUUCACUCUUUGCAAUAAAUCUUGCUGCUGCUCACUCUUUAGGUUCACACUGCUUUUAUGAGCUGUAACACUCACCGCGAAAGUCUGCAGCUUCACUCCUGAGCCAGCGAGACCACGAACCCACCAGAAGGAAGAAACUCCGAACACAUCUGAACAUCAGAAAGAACAAACUCCAGACGCGCCACCUUAAGAGCUGUAACACUCACCGCGAGGGUCCGCGGCUUCAUUCUUGAAGUCAGUGAGACCAAGAACCCACCAAUUCCGGACACACCAUUGUCUGAGUAAGUUUGGGUGCCAGGACUAUGAGGUCGUGUGAAGACUUCCAGCCCCAUACCUGCAGAACAGUCUGCAGCUCACUCUGCUCUGAACUGCCCCAACUUUGCACAGAUAUUCUCCAUUCCUCGAAAUGAAACUAUACGAGAAGGGGAAAGAAAAGAAUAAAAGGUAAGUGCUAAUAGAUAAUCCGAAUAGGCCUAUAUCUAUUAAAUCGAUUGAAACAAUAAUUAAUAACCUUCCAAAACAGAAAGCCAAGACCCCAAUUGGUUCACUGAUUAAUUCUACUAGACUUUUUUUUUUUUGAGGGGGUGGCAAAAGAGCUUUAUUUACACACUGGCACAAGGCCCGCCGGGUGUCAGCUGAAGAAGUAGGUGGAACGCUUCACCAGCUCC
rnacentral:lncRNA from 1 species